CGUACAGUUGCUGGGUUGUAUGGUAGUUUUAUGUUUAAAUGUUGGAAAAACUGCCAAACUGUUUUCCAAAAUAACUAUACCAUUUUACAUUCCUACCAGCAAU
rnacentral:pre_miRNA from 1 species